AUGCACCGGAUCCCAUCAGAA
rnacentral:snRNA from 1 species